GCUUGAGGGGAAGGUUCGUAGGUUAAAGGCUAAACACGCUGCUCCACAUGUGUUAUGUUUUGUUGCUAUAAUUUGUAAUGUAUUAAAAUAAAGUGCAGUAACAUGGGGAAGAAUAAGAAGAACAAAACUAACGAGUCGGGAAAACAAGCUGGCAAGGCCGGACAACAUUCAAGUGACAAGAAGCUCAAACGAGAUGGUAAACCCAAGAAAGCCAAAAGAGACCACCUCGAACACAUCCCCUUUAAACUCCGGGAGAUAAUGAAGAGCAAAGACAGAAUGAAAACGGGGUCUUUAAAGGCCAAAAAGCUCAAAGAAGCCAUCUCCCCUGCAGGUAAACCAGGGGACUCCCAGGGUGGAGACAUACCUGUGCCACAUUUCAAGAGGAGAAAGGAGGAGAGUGUGAAAGCAUACCUGCGCCGCAUGGAAAAUGAAACACAACACGUCCUCUUCCUCACCAAGAACCAGGUAGACAGAAACCCUGAGCGGGAUGAAGACAAGGGCAAGUCUGAGAAGAAGAAGGAGUCUGAUAAAGUCCGAUUACUGAGGCUACAGCAGAAGAAGCUGGACAGACAAGAGGCCAAGAUGGAAAAGGAGAUGUUCGUAGAUAAUGUUCCCUUUGGUGAAGUUUCAAUGGCCCCGCCGUCUUUGAGCGCCAAACCCAAGAAAGCUCCAGUCAAGUCUCAGAAGGCAUCAAAAGAUCUGCACCUCAACUCUCUUCUGGGCCACACGGCGGUAUCCACAGCCAAGCCCUCCAUGGCCAGACAGAGAAUGAUGGAGGAGGAGAGGGAGCGAGCAGUGGAGGCCUACCGCCUUCUUAAGAAACAGAAACAGCAGCAGCAUGAGGCCAGGCAUGCCAAUCUGGAAAAACUCAAGAACCUCAAGUGAUGUUUCAUGUCAAAGAAGUAUAUAAUUCACUGACUUCAGUCAGCAGUGACGCUGAUAAACUGAAACGGACCGUGAGAUAGUAACCAUCAGCACACCGUUUGUGUUCUGUGCGCUGGAACUGAUGCGUCAGUGAGGAUGUUUACCACAAUGUACCAAACUGUUAGGGAAAGGAGCAAACAUUUUCAUCCGCUGCCCACAGAGUGAGGUGACCGACAGGUGCAGGCCCGAGGCAUCGCAGAGUAAAAUCUAGCGUUCUGUUGUUCAUCUCUGAUCAGUCCGAUUUCCAGUUUGUGAGCAAUUUCCUCUCUGAGCAAGCACUCCUGGCUGCUGACAGCACAGGAUGGUGGGAGUAAUUGGGAGAGAGCCUACUCAGCCUGCUGCUAGGCAGCCACAGCUCACUCUGAAGCUCUGAAAGUGUGUACAUGUGUGUGUGUGUGUGUGUGACAAAUUGUAUGUGAUUAAUUGUUCCUCUCCUUUGGAGAAAAGGAAGAACUCGUAAGUCAGAGCAGUUGUUUCAUGUUUAUUUGUCUCUUACCAAUAAUGUGAUGAUGUGGUGCAUUUAUUUGCAGCCCACUCAGUUUCCUAUGUAACUAACAUGCACACAGAGAAGGCUCCUUUCACUAGUUCUUCUGUCGGACAAUAGUUUUUAUCAGAUGCUCCUAAUAGCAUCAUAAUGCCCCAAACUCAAAAUGGAAGUGCAUCUCUCAGUGGCUCUAAUGCCUUAUUUCCACCAUAUGUUUUGGCUGUAGACUCAACUCACCUUUGAUACCAGGUCCUUUUCUUUAUUUUGUUUUCAACUGCAGAUAGUGCCCCCUCAUUGUAGGCCGGAUUCUCAGCUGACCGCCAUAGCGACGCCACAAAAAACUUUAAUGCUACACUAGCUGAAUUCAGAGAAAUGUCUGCACUUUGUCAGUUGUGCGGCGUAGUAUACAACUUGGUUUGCAGGCUGCCAAAUUUAAAAACGUGGGUGAAAUGAUUAAAUUUGAGGUCGUUAUUGACGGUAGCUUAGCUGUUUAAAAAAAAUCAGGUUUGUGCUGGGUUUCUCGUGUUGCGCUUGUGAGAAUUUUAGUGACGAUUCUCUGACCAAUCAGUGGUCUUGAGUGUUUUAACUCCUUAUUUUAGUAUCAGCUCAGCUCGCUUGGAUCCUGGAUCCAAAAAAUUCCAGGUACAGUACUUACCCACAAGUUUUGCUCAUGGAAAACCAAAAAAAAAGGAAGUCGAAUUGAUUGAAGCUGUGCUGUACCAUGCAGUGUAAACAAGGCAUAUUACAGUCCUAAAUUCAAUCUCAAAAAGGGCGCCACAUGGAUUUGUUAUGAGAUUUUUACUGUUUAGGUACUGCAUCAUUCCCACAGUGUCACACUAAAAUGGUUUAUGCCAUGUACACACACACACACAUAACAGUACAGUAUGAUAGCCAAUGCCUGCAGGGGCCCCAGGAAAUGCAGUUAAAGCUUAUCAAACCAACAUAUGUAAAUAACUGCUCUGAGCAGUAUAAUCCUCGUGACACUUCCUCUUGCACUACCCAUAUCUGCCUCCUCGUGAGUUGACACCUGUUACAGUCCAACAGAUCCAACAGCCACACAGUAUUUAAGUAUCCGUUUACAGUUUUAAUAAGUUAGAAUUUACACCUUUACAUAAAAUUUUCAUAAGGCACUACAAAAUCAUAUGGCUUUAAGAGGAAGUCUGAAUCACAACAUGAUUUCACAUGUGACAAAGCAUGUUUACAACAGAUUAAUUACAUUCAGUAGCUUUAUGACAUGAAAAACAUUAGUGAGACUCUAUGUUUGUGAAUAAAAACUAACCAAACAGUUAUAUUAUAGACCUUUCCUUUGCUUUAAACAGUUGUCAUCUAAUACUUAUCUACUGUUUCCUUACCAAUAAGCUGAAUGUAGGUCAGCUGUCACCUGAAAACGUUCCACAUUGCUGCAUGUAAAAAUUCUCUUGAUUGUGUUUUUGAGUGAAACAAGAUAGAAAUGGAUUUGAGUUAGAAGAGGGAAGAUUUAGGGAAAUUGUUUUCAUGAAUUAAAAAUGAAAUACAAGAGCUGAGGCA